CUCUAAAAACGUAACACCACAGCUAAUAUCAGAAUAUCAUAUCUCCCUUCUCAAAUCUCAUCUUUGAGCUCUCAGAUCUCUUAAUCUCAAUCUCACUCUCAAAUCUCAUCUUUGAGCUCUCAAAUCUCUUAAUCUCAAUCUCAAAUCUCUGACUGACAAACUCAAGCAGCACCACAGGUCCAAGCUUUCUCCUUUCUUGCGACAAUCUCAUCUCUCCAUCCCAGGGAGGCAACAAAGUAAUUCAAGACUCAUACGUACAUGUACCAAGCUGGUUGGACCAUUAUUUGCUGGAAGCAAGUGCAGCACUGGAAGGAUUGGCUAUUAAACUGUGCUAAGAGUCCUGACAAAUUGGAAGGAUUGGCAUCCUCAAAUUUCACAUUGCUAAUUGACCUGUUUUAGAUUUUUUUCAGUUUCUGUUUUCUGCAAUUUUACUAACAAUUCUUAUGUGAUAGUAAAUGAACUACUAUCCUUGCAAAUUAUGAAUUCCAUUGAGUUUUUGUUUUUCUAUCCUUCCCUUGCUUCUUGAGUUCUUGGAAUGUAAUCUGUCAUUAUUGCUAUUUUGGAUUAAUUAUUGGUUGUUUGUUGAA